UGGGAGAAAUGUAUCAAUAAGUCAUGACUGCAACAGAUAGUGGCAAAAAAGUUAAACAAAAAAGACUUUUAUUUUGCCGUGGCGCGUGACGUCAUCAGGCAGCGCCGCUUCGUCGCUGUGAUUCAACUGGAGAAAGGAUAAAGUGUCCAAACACAGAGAAAAACUCCUGCUGAAGCGACUGAUCUCCACACUGUUAUAAAGAUGGCGUUUAUUAAAGAAGAGAGUGAAGAUUGAAGAGACAUUCACAGUCAAACAGGAAGAUCUGCAGGAACAAACAGACCUAAUUAAAGACUACGAGGAGAGUAGAGGAGG